rnacentral:lncRNA from 1 species
GUAUAGAUUAAGAAGGAGUAUGUAAUCUAAAGUUUCCUUUUCUGGUGGAUUUUCAUUGUUAAAGCUUUUUUUUUUUGACUCUGCUUUUUGGUGGUAUGAGACGUUCAUUAAAUGAACCACUCUUUAGUAACUGAUUGUUAGUCUUUAGUAAAAAAAAAAUCUUCUGACAUUACCUCACUGCAGUGCGAAGGCUAUAGCUAGAAACAGAAGUGGAGAUCUAGACUCAGAGUAUUGCAGAGUUAAGUUAUUUAAAUACUGCAUUAUCAUGGGACUAUUUCUUAUUUUGAUUUACAGCACUGUUGCUCAGGAAAUCAGUAUUUUUUUUCUACGUAUGUGCAUAUUGCACUUAGAUCAUAGAAAUAUAUGAAUGCUUUAUUUAAUUCACUUGAUGUAUGUAAAAAUCUAGGCAUCUUUUGUAUAAUGUAUUUUAUAUAAUUGGAAAUGUAUUAAACCAUUGUUAGCAUGCACAUCUGUAAAACUGUUUUUAAACUUUUGGCCUUGUUUUUCAUAUUUUUAAGGAUAUGCAAAGUAUAAUAAAAUUUCUAUUUUAUUAA